UACGUAGGGUGCGAGCGUUUGUCCGGAAUUAUUGGGCGUAAAGAGCUUGUAGGCGGUCUGUCGCGUCUGCUGUGAAAAUCCGGGGCUCAACCCCGGACUUGCAGUGGGUACGGGCAGACUAGAGUGUGGUAGGGGAGACUGGAAUUCCUGGUGUAGCGGUGAAAUGCGCAGAUAUCAGGAGGAACACCGAUGGCGAAGGCAGGUCUCUGGGCAUUAACUGACGCUGAGGAGCGAAAGCAUGGGGAGCGAACAGG
rnacentral:rRNA from 1 species